rnacentral:rRNA from 1 species
GACGAACGCUGGCGGCGUGCUUAACACAUGCAAGUCGAGCGAUGAAGCUCCUUCGGGAGUGGAUUAGCGGCGGACGGGUGAGUAACACGUGGGUAACCUACCUCAUAGAGGGGAAUAGCCUUCCGAAAGGAAGAUUAAUACCGCAUAAGAUUGUAGUUCCGCAUGGGACAGCAAUUAAAGGAGUAAUCCGCUAUGAGAUGGACCCGCGUCGCAUUAGCGAGUUGGUGAGGUAACGGCUCACCAAGGCGACGAUGCGUAGCCGACCUGAGAGGGUGAUCGGCCACAUUGGGACUGAGACACGGCCCAGACUCCUACGGGAGGCAGCAGUGGGGAAUAUUGCACAAUGGGGGAAACCCUGAUGCAGCAACGCCGCGUGAGUGAUGACGGUCUUCGGAUUGUAAAACUCUGUCUUUGGGGACGAUAAUGACGGUACCCAAGGAGGAAGCCACGGCUAACUACGUGCCAGCAGCCGCGGUAACAC